rnacentral:rRNA from 1 species
UACGUAGGGUGCAAGCGUUAAUCGGAAUUACUGGGCGUAAAGGGCUCGUAGGCGGCCAACUAAGUCAGACGUGAAAUCCCUCGGCUUAACCGGGGAACUGCAUCUGAUACUGGAUGGCUUGAGUUCGGGAGAGGGAUGCGGAAUUCCAGGUGUAGCGGUGAAAUGCGUAGAUAUCUGGAGGAACACCGGUGGCGAAGGCGGCAUCCUGGACCGACACUGACGCUGAGGAGCGAAAGCCAGGGGAGCAAACGGG